rnacentral:lncRNA from 1 species
AUGACAACAAGUGAAAGUAAAAUAUUUAAGACAGAUAAUCCAUUGACAACCAAACAGCCGGGGGAAGCAAACAAGAAAGGUAAGUCCUUCAGUAGCUAAUUGAAUACAGUACCCACAAUAAUUGCACAGUGCACUUUCAACUGUUGAAGCCGAGGUUUGAGUUUUAAUUUGGAAACMGUAUCAACACAGAUCAAGUCAUCCAUAUUGUGAGUUCAGGUGCAAUUUCUGUUUUCUCCUUUGUGGUCCAUKUGAAUAGCAUGCUGUAGUUAAGAUACCUACCAUCAGGUUGCAUUAUAUAGGAAGUUUUAUUUAUUAUUCUGGAUUCACACUUGAGCAUGGGUACCUCCAAGACAGCCCAGGCCUAUAGCCUGCAAAAUGCAAUUUCCUGUAACAGAAAUUUUUAUUUGUAGAUUUCUGUCAGAACCAGCAACAGCCUAAAUGCCUGUGUUCAUGACCACCUGAUCAGGAUAGCAAUACAUUUUACUCUAUCCCACAUGGCAGUCAUAUUAAAUAAAAUACUGAACAACGUGUAUUUAUAAAGAUAGUAAACAUGAUAAAUCGCCCGAACUGCGGAAAGCUGUCGUGCGAAGUUAYUGGCGAUAUCCUUUAACGUGUUCUACACAGUUUGUGACGGGGUGGAAAUCCCAUUUCAACAUGGGUGAAAACUACAAACCGCCUGCUUGCCAACACUCGAAGAACAUCUCAACUAUAAUGUAGUGCAGCUUUUAUUAUUCUUAGCAGUUUUCAUAAGCAAUGCCAUAUGAUAAACACGGUUGACUGUAUUAGCUUGGAUAGUUACAAUGCUGAUAUUAAUAUGAACGUGAUGCAUUAUAGUAAACCAAGUGGUGAGCUGCCGCAAUGUUGUUUUCCAAAUGAAAGAGUGGGCCUUUAACUGCCAUCCCAAUUCUAUUCUCUCUACACCGUAUGAGCAUACUGGCUCUAAAAGGAGUCUCUGGGGAGAAAGCGGAGGUGGGCAGUGCCUACAAAGAAAUGUCACUCUGAUGGAAUUGACAUUUACAAUGAAGCUGGAAGCCAAAUCCAGCAGGAGAGACCAGUCUCACCUGUACCCAGCUGUCUGUCCAUGCAAACAGACAUGUCUAUUGAUCCUCRGUUCAACUUCAUGACAGAAAAUAUAUCUACUGAUCAAAAGCCUUUCUGGUUUGUGUUCUCUUGUUCUGCUCAUUUGUUUCUAAUCAAUAUUUUGAAGCAAACAGUAAAUCACCAACGUCCUGU